rnacentral:rRNA from 1 species
AUUGAACGCUGGCGGCAUGCUUUACACAUGCCAGUCGGACGGCAGCACAGAGAAGCUUGCUUCUUGGGUGGCGAGUGGCGAACGGGUGAGUAACAUAUCGGUACGUACCGAGCAGUGGGGGAUAACUAAUCGAAAGAUUAGCUAAUACCGCGUAUUUUCUGAGGAAGUAAGCAGGGGACCAUUUGGCCUUGCGCUGUUUGAGCGGCCGAUAUCUGAUUAGCUAGUUGGUGGGGUAAAGGCCUACCAAGGCGACGAUCAGUAGCGGGUCUGAGAGGAUGAUCCGCCACACUGGGACUGAGACACGGCCCAGACUCAUACGGGAGGCAGCAGUGGGGAAUUUUGGACAAUGGGCGCAAGCGUGAUCCAGCCAUGCCGCGUGUUGAAGAAGGCAUUCGGGUUGUAAAGGACUUUUGUCAGUGAAGAAAAGGGCGGGGUUAAUACCCCUGUCUGAUGACGGUACCUGAAGAAUAAGUCACCGGUC